GCAGUCGAACGAUGAAGCCCAGCUUGCUGGGUGGAUUAGUGGCGAACGGGUGAGUAACACGUGAGUAACCUGCCCUUGACUCUGGGAUAAGCGUUGGAAACGACGUCUAAUACCGGAUACGAGCUUCCACCGCAUGGUGAGUUGCUGGAAAGAAUUUUGGUCAAGGAUGGACUCGCGGCCUAUCAGCUUGUUGGUGAGGUAACGGCUCACCAAGGCGACGACGGGUAGCCGGCCUGAGAGGGUGACCGGCCACACUGGGACUGAGACACGGCCCAGACUCCUACGGGAGGCAGCAGUGGGGAAUAUUGCACAAUGGGCGAAAGCCUGAUGCAGCAACGCCGCGUGAGGGACGACGGCCUUCGGGUUGUAAACCUCUUUUAGCAGGGAAGAAGCGAAAGUGACGGUACCUGCAGAAAAAGCACCGGCUAACUACGUGCCAGCAGCCGCGGUAAUACGUAGGGUGCAAGCGUUGUCCGGAAUUAUUGGGCGUAAAGAGCUCGUAGGCGGUUUGUCGCGUCUGCUGUGAAAUCCCGAGGCUCAACCUCGGGUCUGCAGUGGGUACGGGCAGACUAGAGUGCGGUAGGGGAGAUUGGAAUUCCUGGUGUAGCGGUGGAAUGCGCAGAUAUCAGGAGGAACACCGAUGGCGAAGGCAGAUCUCUGGGCCGCUACUGACGCUGAGGAGCGAAAGGGUGGGGAGCAAACAGGCUUAGAUACCCUGGUAGUCCACCCCGUAAACGUUGGGCGCUAGAUGUGGGGACCAUUCCACGGUUUCCGUGUCGUAGCUAACGCAUUAAGCGCCCCGCCUGGGGAGUACGGCCGCAAGGCUAAAACUCAAAGGAAUUGACGGGGGCCCGCACAAGCGGCGGAGCAUGCGGAUUAAUUCGAUGCAACGCGAAGAACCUUACCAAGGCUUGACAUAUACGAGAACGGGCCAGAAAUGGUCAACUCUUUGGACACUCGUAAACAGGUGGUGCAUGGUUGUCGUCAGCUCGUGUCGUGAGAUGUUGGGUUAAGUCCCGCAACGAGCGCAACCCUCGUUCUAUGUUGCCAGCACGUAAUGGUGGGAACUCAUGGGAUACUGCCGGGGUCAACUCGGAGGAAGGUGGGGACGACGUCAAAUCAUCAUGCCCCUUAUGUCUUGGGCUUCACGCAUGCUACAAUGGCCAGUACAAAGGGCUGCAAUACCGUAAGGUGGAGCGAAUCCCAAAAAGCUGGUCCCAGUUCGGAUUGAGGUCUGCAACUCGACCUCAUGAAGUCGGAGUCGCUAGUAAUCGCAGAUCAGCAACGCUGCGGUGAAUACGUUCCCGGGCCUUGUACACACCGCCCGUCAAGUCAUGAAAGUCGGUAACACCCGAAGCCAGUGGCCUAAC
rnacentral:rRNA from 1 species